CCCUCUAAGGCAGCGGGUAACAGCGGCGUCUCCCUCACAGGGUGGUUGGGAGGACUGAGAAGAUCAUGCACAGUGCUCUUUGAAUGUCACAGAACAGAAAGCUGUAUGCUGGGUCUACUGUCCUGCAGACACACCAGGGCAAUGGAGGGGCCAAGGAACGCCAGUGCACUCUGUUCUCUCCUGGGGGGAGGAGGUCAGUAAAAGUCUCUACUGUGAUGGGGCUAAAGCUGCUCCUCUGAGAGCCACACUCUGGCCACUGCUGCCACUCUCCUCCCACAGCUCACGGUGCUACAGCUGCACUGCCACACCCAGGCCUUCUAGAAAGAUCCACAGAGCAGGCUGCAGGGCCAGCACCAGACAUACUUUAUAUGGGGAAUAAACGGAAGGAGGGAACUAGCAGCCUGGAGCUCUGGGGCUGGGGGUGGGGAACUGCUCUUUCAAGAUACCGUUGUCCCCUCCCCAGAAGUGGAUCCUAUCACAAAGAACCCUUCUUCUGAGUCUUAGGGGAGGUGCAUUUAGAAGAUGGAUGCUUUUCUCAGGAAGAUAAGAGGAAAAUGUUUCCCUUAUUCUACCUAAUGCUGCCCGGUGUCUGUGUGGGACAGGCCAGGGCUGCCUCUUCCUGGCAGCAUUUUGGGGGAAGACCAGGGUUACAGCCACUUCUAGCCCCCCUCCUUUUUUUUCUGUUUCAUGUGAUUUAUUUUGCUGGAGGGUACAUUUGAUUUUUUCUUCUUUCCAGAUUCAGCUUUUAGAAUGACUAUUUUCACACAUCAGUGUUUGUGUCCAUGGUUAAAGGUUAUUUUUAAGGGUGGAAUUUCUAACACUGUACAUUUCGAUCACAUUUAGGAAUCCUUAACUUUUAUCCCCUGGGGUAGAACAAGAAAUAACGUCAAGAAUUAUUUCUGGACUCUUCCCAGCCCAACAGGCCCUAGCGUGUGGCAGUGUUUCAGCCAGUGAGGCAGUGAACUGUUGACUCCUGACAUUGCUGUGAGCUGAGUCAUCCCUGGGUUUUUUCCUGCCGCAGGAUCUGGCUGCUCUGCAGAGGAGGAGCUGAACGUUUUGUGGUCAUUGUUCCAGAGAUCAGCUCUGGAAGGAACUACUUUUGCUUCCCUCACAAAGGCUGCGGAGGGUUAUUGAAUGCCAACAGCGUGAGUUGUCCUUCGCCCAUAAAUACGCCUCUCCCCGCUCUGCGGCAGGCAUUCAGGCAGCGAGCGCAGAGAUGACUGCUGAGACCGAGGCACUACUUGAGGAAACCAGAUAAGUUUUUCUAUUAAAAAGAGAUAGAAAAUAAUAUUCUUUAGGAAAUGUAAAUAGCGAAGGAAGAUACUUACUGAGAUACUGCUUAGCAUUAAUAUUUUAACUUUUGUAACAAAGAUCUUAUUUAAGGGAAAAUAUGAAGACUUACUUAAAAAGUAGUUUCAGAAAGGAAGAGAGAAGAAAAGUACUUCCAGAACAUGACGGAGAUUAAGAGAUGAAACUUCUUUACGAAGUAAAAUAAUUUUCAAAGAAAUGGCUGAUAGGACUGCAAAGUCUGAACUCAAAAACGCCUUAACUAAAUUGAAGGGCAAACUUUAAAAAUGCCAUUAAACCGUAGGUGACAUAAGUAGGACAUAAUUGUGAUUUAAAGAAAGUUGGAGGUGGUUAAACUAUAUAUUAAAUGCCGUAUUUAAAAGAGAAAAAUUGGUUUAAGAGAGGCCUUAAAAUUCAUGGCGCAGUAAAGAUUGUGUCAUUUGAAGCCCAGUUGCUAUUACGGCAUUAUUAGCUUAAGAUGGGCAAUUGUUAAUUUAGAAAUCAUAGGAUAAAAUUUUGGAGAAAGAUUAGAAAUUUGAAGUGGAAAACUUGGAAGACGGAAGUGUACAGGAAGGUGAAAAAGACGUAGAGAAGACAGGAAAAUAGAAGAUACAACAUGCAUUUUAGAAGACAGAAAAACUAAGUCCUAAAGGUAGAAAGCAGAAGAGAAAAUAUUUAGGCAAACUAACCAAAGCAACUAAGGGCACAGAUACAAAUGUGAUAGAAAACGAGAAGAUACAGAUUUAAUAGGAAAGUAGAAAAUAGAAAAUGAAGAUACAAAUUUAGUAGAAGAUAGAAAAUGAGAAGAUACAGAUUAAGUAGAAAACUAGAAGAUAGAAAAUGAAGAUACAAGUUUAGUAGAAAAUAGAAGAUAGAAAAAAAUACAGAUUAAGUAGAAAAUGAGAAGAUACAGAAAAGUAGAAAAAUAGAAGAUAAUGAGAAGAUAAAGUUUAGUAGAAAAUAGAAGAUAGAAAAUGAGAUACAGAUUAAGUAGAAAAAUAGAAGAUAGAAAAUGAGAAGAUACAAGUUUAGUAGAAAAGUAGAAGAUAGAAAAUGAGAAGAUACAAGUUUAGUAGAAAAAUAGAAGAUAAAAAGAGAAAAUAGAAGAUAGAAAAUGAGAAGAUACAGACUAAGUAGAAAAAUAGAAGAUAGAAAAUUAGAAGAUACAAGUUUAGUAGAAAAAUAGAAGAUAGAAAAUUAGAAGAUACAAGUUUAGUAGAAAAGUAGAAGAUAGAAAACGAGAAGAUACCAAGUUUAGUAGAAAAGUAGAAGAUAGAAAAUGAGAAGAUACAAGUUUAGUAGAAAAGUAGAAGAUAGAAAACGAGAAGAUACAAGUUUAGUAGAAGAUAGAAGGUCGUCAAGAAAAGUAUUUCAGCUAGAAGAUAGUACAGGAACAAAAGGAGGAAAUUAAAUUUUUAAUUUGUAAUUAAUAAGAAUUUAUUAUAAAAACCCGUAAGUUUAAUUUCUGGUAGUGCAGAAGUUAGCUUUGAGAAGACGAGGAUGUUUAAAUUGCUGUAGAACAGGCCUACUUUAGAAGAAUAUCCGGAAGAAGCUAGAAGGGAAAUCAGCUAAAAAAAAAAAAA